AGAGUUUGAUCCUGGCUCAGGACGAACGCUGGCGGCGUGCUUAACACAUGCAAGUCGAACGGAGCACCCUUGAUUGAGGUUUCGGCCAAAUGAUAGGAAUGCUUAGUGGCGGACUGGUGAGUAACGCGUGAGGAACCUGCCUUUCAGAGGGGGACAACAGCUGGAAACGACUGCUAAUACCGCAUGACGCAUUUUGAUCGCAUGGUCGAAAUGCCAAAGAUUUAUCGCUGAAAGAUGGCCUCGCGUCUGAUUAGCUAGUUGGUGAGGUAACGGCCCACCAAGGCGACGAUCAGUAGCCGGACUGAGAGGUUGACCGGCCACAUUGGGACUGAGAUACGGCCCAGACUCCUACGGGAGGCAGCAGUGGGGAAUAUUGGGCAAUGGGCGCAAGCCUGACCCAGCAACGCCGCGUGAAGGAAGAAGGCUUUCGGGUUGUAAACUUCUUUUAAGUGGGAAGAGUAGAAGACGGUACCACUUGAAUAAGCCACGGCUAACUACGUGCCAGCAGCCGCGGUAAUACGUAGGUGGCAAGCGUUGUCCGGAUUUACUGGGUGUAAAGGGCGUGCAGCCGGGCAUGCAAGUCAGAUGUGAAAUCUCAGGGCUUAACCCUGAAACUGCAUUUGAAACUGUAUGUCUUGAGUGCCGGAGAGGUAAUCGGAAUUCCUUGUGUAGCGGUGAAAUGCGUAGAUAUAAGGAAGAACACCAGUGGCGAAGGCGGAUUACUGGACGGUAACUGACGGUGAGGCGCGAAAGCGUGGGGAGCGAACAGGAUUAGAUACCCUGGUAGUCCACGCUGUAAACG
rnacentral:rRNA from 1 species